UGGGAUGUCCCCUUGCUUUUCCCUUUGUUCUGCAUGGAGCAAGAGCUAUGUGGAGUUUGGGGCUCUUUCAACAACAACAAAAUAACCUAAAAUUGUGAAUUAGUUUACAGAUUAACUUUGUGCUCUGUGCAAGGGCUGUACGGGAAAGGACUUCCCUAAGUAUCAGGAGGUGGGUAUAUUGGUGUUUCAGAGGUAAAGAAACAACCCAGUAGCCCUCCUCUCCCCAGGCAAAAGGUAUAACAUGAAACUCGGAGAUUUAACAAAAUCUUCUCUCCCACCCAUCACUGAUGGAGCCUCAGAAGUAACUGUUAAUAGCUGGAACAGUGCCUCAGCCAGCCCCUUUGGUGGCUCCAAGGGCAGGCUUUCCCUUGGUCUAGCCUGCCUUCUCUUACCUCUGCCAGCACGCCUGAUUUUAAAGUAAUCUUACAAGCUGAGGAGCUCAUGCGCGUGUCUGAACCUGGAGGAGGAAUUGCUUCAUCACUGGAGGGGAAGGAAAAGGCAUCAAGGUGCAAGGGCCGUCCCACCAACACAAGACUCCCUCCUUUGGCAGUCUCUCACACCAAACCUGCAGCCCUUCACCCACAGAGUUUGCAUAAGAGAGAAGCAAGAAUAAGAUGCUCAGCUCCCCUGUGCCCCAGGCUGGUGCCUAUCAGUGACGGUAAGGAGUCUGACUGUUCCCCCCACACGUCAGCUGGGUGCGAUGCAACCACACCUAGGCUAGCUCUCAAUGAGCUGUCUUUGCUUCUCCAGCACUGAAAAACCACAGUGGUGCCCGCGUGGUCCAACCGCUCUGAGUGUUUGCUGAGUUUCUCAGGGCUCUUUGCAUCCCACGCCGCAUUUGGUGGAGGCUAGCUAGCGAGCUAGGUAAUUUAGAGCAGGUUAUAUAUGUGUGGCUGACCCAUGAAAAGGUUUGCUUUCUCCAUGGUAUGCAAAAUCUGUGGGGCUGGCAUUAUAAUUCCGUACAAUGCCCCAUCAGCGUGGGUUUCUGGCCAGGGGGAGGCUUGUUGCUGCUGCUGUUACACAAGA
rnacentral:lncRNA from 1 species